rnacentral:rRNA from 1 species
ACAAUGGGGGGAACCCUGAUCCAGCCAUGCCGCGUGUGUGAAGAAGGCCUUUUGGUUGUAAAGCACUUUAAGCGAGGAGGAGGCUACUGGUAUUAAUACUACCGGAUAGUGGACGUUACUCGCAGAAUAAGCACCGGCUAACUCUGUGCCAGCAGCCGCGGUAAUACAGAGGGUGCGAGCGUUAAUCGGAUUUACUGGGCGUAAAGCGUGCGUAGGCGGCUUUUUAAGUCGGAUGUGAAAUCCCUGAGCUUAACUUAGGAAUUGCAUUCGAUACUGGGAGGCUAGAGUAUGGGAGAGGAUGGUAGAAUUCCAGGUGUAGCGGUGAAAUGCGUAGAGAUCUGGAGGAAUACCGAUGGCGAAGGCAGCCAUCUGGCCUAAUACUGACGCUGAGGUACGAAAGCAUGGGGAGCAAACAGGAUCAGAUACCCUGGUAGUCCAUGCCGUAAACGAUGUCUACUAGCCGUUGGGGCCUUUGAGGCUUUAGUGGCGCAGCUAACGCGAUAAGUAGACCGCCUGGGGAGUAC